GACGAACGCUGGCGGCGCGCCUAACACAUGCAAGUCGAACGAGCGAGAGAGAGCUUGCUUUCUCGAGCGAGUGGCGAACGGGUGAGUAACGCGUGAGGAACCUGCCUCAAAGAGGGGGACAACAGUUGGAAACGACUGCUAAUACCGCAUAAGCCCACGACCCGGCAUCGGGUAGAGGGAAAAGGAGCAAUCCGCUUUGAGAUGGCCUCGCGUCCGAUUAGCUAGUUGGUGAGGUAAUGGCCCACCAAGGCGACGAUCGGUAGCCGGACUGAGAGGUUGAACGGCCACAUUGGGACUGAGACACGGCCCAGACUCCUACGGGAGGCAGCAGUGGGAAUAUUGCACAAUGGGGGGAAACCCUGAUGCAGCGACGCCGCGUGGAGGAAGACGGUUUUCGGAUUGUAAACUCCUGUUCUUAGUGAAGAAUAAUGACGGUAGCUAAGGAGCAAGCCAACGGCUAACUACGUAG
rnacentral:rRNA from 1 species